CGCCCACAUACACAUAACGCUCUCAGUCUCCUGCUCGCUCCCAACUCUGGUCUGGUGGUUCGUGUAGCUAGCUAGUUAGCAACCCCUGGAGAAACAUGACACCCGCCCAUCGUCCAAGAGGCAAACCGAGUGAACAAGAUGUUUCAGAUGGAAAACACAUAUCCAUGCAGGCUUUUCCACGAACUCAUCACGUUCUAUCUGAGCCUGCUACGAAGAGUCACAAAAAUCAGCACCGUGGUCGUGGACAGCUCAUCAAUCAAAUCUACACGCACCAGCAGCAGAGAACAACGUUGCAAAGAAUACCUGCUUGAAUUUGCGAAGCAAAUGAAACAACGUCUGCCUACCAACAUGCAGCAACUCCAGUCUCUCGGGGCCUUGAGUCCAUCUACGGUGCUCAGUGUUCAGAAAACACCCCAGCUAGCAUCUCUGUCAUUUCUCCACCUGUACACAGGAAACCUCGGCAAGCUUGAUCAACAGUGGAGAGUGCUGGACACGCUUCAGUGGGAGAAUACAGAAGACUGCAAAACCGAACAGUUCUGGAUUGAAGUGAAAAAUCACAUAGAUGCGGCCGGUGACAAGGACUUUGCUGAGCUUGGAUCGUUUGCCCUCUCACUUCUGGCAUUGCCAUUCAGCAAAGCAGCUGUGGAACGCAUCUUCUCUGAGAUUAAUUUGAUCAAGACCAAAUUGUUCCAUUUCAAGGAGUUUUUCUCUUUUUUUACUGUAAGGCACCUUCUACAAGUCAAACAGGCAGGGAGGAAGAGAGAAAAGGGAAGAGAAACCCUAAAGACAACAGGUUAGUUUGUCAGUCAGUUAAUUGGUCUACACGUUCACAGAUCUAUAUUUUAUUUAUGAUAAUAUACUGUAUCUAAUUACACAAGGCUAUCUUGGGACCUAGGUGAAAAAACUGCUUUUAAUACUGGCGUUACUUUGUAUAUAUUACAAUACAUUUGGCAAUGCUGCUGGACUUUAAAAGCAGUGUAUAUGGUUUGGCAGGGCUUGUUUUAUUGGCCAUUGGGCUGGUUUUGUCACACAGACCUGGCAACCCUGCUCACGUAGGACCACCAAACGUCGUCGUGUUUUGUAUUAAAUAGCAUCCGUAGGCGCAGACAGUUGAAUUUCACCGACUUCUACAGGAACUGCGUCUGGAUCACUGCCGCUUCCGCGGUACAUGCUGCUAGCCGUUAGGCCGUUUGACAAUACAAUUACCCAUAAAAAGGCACAUAUGUUUGUAUGUAAUUUGUGUCUUUCCUGGACCUGUUGCAAUAUAAGUACGGCUCGUACAGCUCGAGUACCGCUAUUUCCAGGUAAUACUUUCGACAAUACGAUAUGUAAUGUAAUUCCUACAUUUACAGCCUGUAAAUUAGUCAGUGAAAGUGAGAAAUUAAAUAUACUAAACGUUAGAUAUCAAAACACCUAUUUUGUAUUUACACAUUGUUCAUUUGUAACUAACCUUAAAUAUUCGUGAAAUAUUUUCUAUGGAUAUAUCAAUUUCCCGCAGCUGGUAGACAUGAGGUUCUCUCCAAACGGUAACCAGUUCAUGCUCCAUGCUAAUGUUCGCUAAAGUUAAACAUUUCUGGACUCCACGCUCUACUAAUGAGCAGUAUGCCUAUAUACUUGACCAUCAACGAAAACCGGUAACGUUUUAAUUUAGCCUAAUGGUAACUUUUUAUUUUGAUCAUCUUAGCUGCUCAGAUCAAACCGAUUUAAUUAUUUAUUUCAUUACAUUCCAAAAAAUCUGAGAUUGACAUUUCAGCAUGUUGAAUUUUGGGUAACGGACAUCAUCAUUCAGUCUAUUCCGGAUAUGAGCACGUGAAUUUGGGAUUACUUUUCAACCACAUUAAUAUUGUACUUUCCUUCAGAGAAGCACAUCGAUAUGGACUCCAGCCUGUUACCCUACUUGGACGUAGAAAGUCAAAUGUUGCAUGGUGGCUAUAGUGACAAGGACAUACAUAACCACUUGGUUUAAGGAUGUGGCUUGAGUCGAGGAGCGUUCAUCAGGAAUAUUCGAAGAUUUUGCAAAGAUCACUGCGAGUGACGGACGAACAACUGGAAGGCGCGGUCUUAAAAUCAGUAAACGAGACUGUAGCAACACUGGCAUGAAAAAAAUUCUAUUGUCGCCAUAUCCAUUGUGACGCAGAUGGCGAGGGAUUUAAAAUCAACACCAUGUGAGGAUGACAAGGAAAGCUGGCACCAGACCCACUUUCCCCUAAUGUGAGGAACCCAUUUCCAGCAAGACCCAUUUAAAAGGAGUCUGAAGCCACCAGGAGGGAAUGUGACUUUUGGCACUGUUAUUGUUAUGGAUACCUGCUGUUCUCAGAUGCAUAUGUGGCUGGAAGUUGUGGGGAUGAUGGUGACUUCUUCCGUUUUGAUUCUAUAUCACUAUCUGAUA
ensembl:lncRNA